UCCGGUUUGUCACCGGCAGUCUGGCGUGAGUCCCCAACUUAAUGCUGGCAACACGCCACGGGGGUUGCGCUCGUUGCGGGACUUAACCCAACAUCUCACGACACGAGCUGACGACAGCCAUGCACCACCUGUGCACUGGCCCCGAAGGGCUGCCGUAUUUCUACGGCAUUCCAGUGCAUGUCAAGCCCUGGUAAGGUUCUUCGCGUCGCGUCGAAUUAAGGCACAUGCUCCGCCGCUUGUGCGGGCCCCCGUCAAUUCCUUUGAGUUUCACCCUUGCGGGCGUACUCCCCAGGUGGAUUACUUAACGCUUUCGCUAAGACGCUGACUGUUUAUCGCCAACAUCGAGUAAUCAUCGUUUACAGCGUGGACUAC
rnacentral:misc_RNA from 1 species